rnacentral:rRNA from 1 species
GUGGCGGACGGGUGAGUAACACGUGGGUAACCUGCCCUUAAGUGGGGGAUAACAUUUGGAAACAGAUGCUAAUACCGCAUAGAUCCAAGAACCGCAUGGUUCUUGGCUGAAAGAUGGCGUAAGCUAUCGCUUUUGGAUGGACCCGCGGCGUAUUAGCUAGUUGGUGAGGUAAUGGCUCACCAAGGCGAUGAUACGUAGCCGAACUGAGAGGUUGAUCGGCCACAUUGGGACUGAGACACGGCCCAAACUCCUACGGGAGGCAGCAGUAGGGAAUCUUCCACAAUGGACGCAAGUCUGAUGGAGCAACGCCGCGUGAGUGAAGAAGGCUUUCGGGUCGUAAAACUCUGUUGUUGGAGAAGAAUGGUCGGCAGAGUAACUGUUGUCGGCGUGACGGUAUCCAACCAGAAAGCCACGGCUAACUACGUGCCAGCAGCCGCGGUAAUACGUAGGUGGCAAGCGUUAUCCGGAUUUAUUGGGCGUAAAGCGAGCGCAGGCGGUUUUUUAAGUCUGAUGUGAAAGCCCUCGGCUUAACCGAGGAAGCGCAUCGGAAACUGGGAAACUUGAGUGCAGAAGAGGACAGUGGAACUCCAUGUGUAGCGGUGAAAUGCGUAGAUAUAUGGAAGAACACCAGUGGCGAAGGCGGCUGUCUGGUCUGUAACUGACGCUGAGGCUCGAAAGCAUGGGUAGCGAACAGGAUUAGAUACCCUGGUAGUCCAUGCCGUAAACGAUGAAUGCUAGGUGUUGGAGGGUUUCCGCCCUUCAGUGCCGCAGCUAACGCAUU